rnacentral:rRNA from 1 species
ACGGGAGGCAGCAGUGGGGGAUAUUGGACAAUGGGGGAAACCCUGAUCCAGCGACGCCGCGUGAGUGAAGAAGUAUUUCGGUAUGUAAAGCUCUAUCAGCAGGGAAGAAAAAUAACCAAAUUGACUGUACCUGACUAAGAAGCCCCGGCUAACUACGUGCCAGCAGCCGCGGUAAUACGUAGGGGGCAAGCGUUAUCCGGAUUUACUGGGUGUAAAGGGAGCGUAGGCGGCGAAGCAAGUCAGAUGUGAAAUCCCAGGGCUCAACCCUGGUACUGCAUUUGAAACUGUUUUGCUAGAGUAUCGGAGAGGUAAGUGGAAUUCCUAGUGUAGCGGUGAAAUGCUUAGAUAUUAGGAAGAACACCAGUGGCGAAGGCGGCUUACUGGACGAUAACUGACGCUGAGGCUCGAAAGCGUGGGGAGCAAACAGGAUUAGAUACCCUGGUA